UGGCGAACGGGUGAGUAAUACAUCGGAACGUGCCCAAUCGCGGGGGAUAACGCAGCGAAAGCUGUGCUAAUACCGCAUAAGAUCUACGGAUGAAAGCAGGGGAUCGCAAGACCUUGCGCGAAUGGAGCGGCCGAUGGCAGAUUAGGUAGUUGGUGAGGUAAAGGCUCACCAAGCCUUCGAUCUGUAGCUGGUCUGAGAGGACGACCAGCCACACUGGGACUGAGACACGGCCCAGACUCCUACGGGAGGCAGCAGUGGGGAAUUUUGGACAAUGGGCGAAAGCCUGAUCCAGCCAUGCCGCGUGCAGGAUGAAGGCCUUCGGGUUGUAAACUGCUUUUGUACGGAACGAAAAAGUCUUUUCUAAUACAGAAGGCUCAUGACGGUACCGUAAGAAUAAGCACCGGCUAACUACGUGCCAGCAGCCGCGGUAAUACGGAGGGUGCAAGCGUUGUCCGGAUUUAUUGGGUUUAAAGGGUGCGUAGGCGGCUGAUUAAGUCUGGGGUGAAAGCCCGUUGCUCAACAACGGAACUGCCCUGGAAA
rnacentral:rRNA from 1 species